AUGUGUUAAAAAGUAAGCAACAAAAAAUAUAAAUAUAUUAAUAUUUUUUCAACCGAUCGGGUUUACAACCUUUAGCGACAACCCAAAUGCACCAGCUCACCGGUUCGAGUUCGAGAACAUCGAACUACAUCCAGACAACUGCGUGGUUCACCUCCGCCGGACGAUGCGGCCUUGGUCGCAACGGCGCUUACUAUUUAACAAUUACACAAACCCGCGCGUGCUCUACUCGCCGCAGCGGUUGGGGAAAAACGGCACUAAGAACGGCCGACCCUCCUACUACGACUGAGCCGCUGUUUUUCUUCCAUCGCGCAUCUUUCGCCGAAAAAGGGGAAGAUGUGUGUGACCAUUCCGCCUUCUGUUCGGUUCUUUCUAAUCUACCACACACCUACAGAGGAUAGGGGAACACAACAGUUAUACUACCUUUUUGCCGCACGAUCUCCCCCUCACACGAAUGGCAUCCAAAGAUGGCCAUCAGCGGGUACUCUCCUCGCAUUGGACACAAAUAUGAGCGCUGGGUAGCGACGGAUGGAUUAAAAAAUGAAACCUCUUUUUCGCCGGCCCAUGGAGGGUUUCUGUGUUUGUGUGUGUGCUUCUACAGUGGAGUACUGAAGAUAGAUGCAGCGUGCAGCGUAGUUCGAUUCCGCUGCCAAUCGAGUCAUAUCUGGGGGGAGGCAAGCAGUUCAAAACAGAUUUCACCUCGCGUGAGUGGGAUGUGAAUGUCAAUCGACGGUGAAAGAGCAGAGACCAACAACAAAAAACAACGUUAACGGAAGUGGUUACUCCAUCUUUUCGAACCGAUAACCGAGAAGGGGGGAAACGUCGCUUUCACUUAACAACUUUUGUCUUCCCACGAUUGUCACCCGAGUCGUACUCCAGCUGUCCCUCGACGCCUGAUAUCUUUGGGGACACUUUUCUCUCUUCUUUUGACAUUUCGGAGUGUGCCACGAUGAUGUGUCGCGAAAGCGUUCUUGCAGUUGGAUAGUGUACACGCAAUGGUAGUAGUCGGAGUUGUUAUUGUUUUGCUCAACCACACGUGCUUGAUCAAUGCAAAAGCAACGUUGUCAUGGCGUGGUGUGUUGGUUUGUGCUUUUAUUGCAGCUGUACCGUCAACAAAACGUUACAUCGACCAGGAGUACAGGAGAGCACGUAGCCGACCUCGUCCACUACCUCCCAACCCGGUUGGCUAGUGUAGUACACACGUGAGCAUGUUUGCCUCGCUUCGUGUUUCCUCUGCUCGGUUCCAGUCUCAUACUGGCAUUAGAAAACCAAGAAAACCAGCACAAAAAUACUGUGUUUCCUUCUUGUAACCGCAACAGCCAAAUGCUCUCGCUUUCUCGCGUAUGUUUUGUUUUUUGAGGGUUCAUUUCAUCAUCAUCCAAAAGCGGCACAAACAGAGCAGGCCGAGUUUCGGCAACCGAUGCCCACACUAUGCGUAUUGAAUGUCAGUAAAGUCAUCAAUAAAAGGAGACGGAAAUCACAAAA